GGCCCACCUGCCUCCACUCCUGCCUCCACCAUGUCCAUCAGGGUGACUCAGAAGUCCUACAAGAUGUCCACCUCUGACCCUCGGGUCUUCAGCAGCCGUUCCUACAUGAGUGGGCCUGGUGCCCUGCAUCAGCUCCUUGAGCUUCUCUGGAGUGGACAGUAGCAGCUUUUGGGAUGGCGGGGGCAGCAGCUAUGGUGGGGCCAGCGGCAUGAGAGGCAUCACCACAGUCGCAGUCAACCAGAGCCUGCUGAGCCCCCUUGUCCUGGAGGUGGACCCCAACAUCCAGGUGGUGAGCACCCAGGAGAAGGAGCAGGUCAAGACCCUCAACAACAGGUUUGCCUCUUUCAUAGGCAAGGUACGGUUCCUGGAGUAGCGGAACAAGAUGUUGGAGACCAAGUGGAGCCUUCUGCAGCAGCAGAAGACCACUGGAAGCAACAUGCCCAACAUGUUCGAGGGCUACUUCAACAACCUUAGGUGGCAGCUGGAGACUCUGGGCCAGGAGAAGCUGAAGUUGGAGGGGGAGCUUGGCAACAUGCAGGGGCUGGUGGAGGACUUUAAGAACAAAUAUGAGGAUGAGAUCAAUAAGCCUACAGAGAUGGAAAGUGAAUUUGUCCUCAUCAAGAAGGAUGUGGAUGAAGCUAACAUGAACAAGAUAGAUCUGGAGUCUCACUGACUGAUGAGAUCAGCUUCCUUGGGCAGCUGUAUGAAGGGGAGAUCCAGGAGCUGCAGUCCCAGAUCUCGGACACAUCUGUAGUGCUGUCCAUGGACAACAGCCACUCCCUGGACCUGGACAGCAUCAUCGCUGAGGUCAAGGCACAAUACGAGGAGCUCGCCAAAUGUAGCGGAGCUGAGGCUGAGAGCAUGUAUUAGAUCAAGUAUGAGGAGCUGCAAUGCUAGCUGGGAAGCACGGGGAUGACCUGCGGUGCACAGAGACUGAGAUCUCUGAGAUGAACUGGAACAUCAGCCGGCUCCAGGCUGAGACUGAGGGCAUCAAAGGCCGGAGGGCUUCGCUGGAGGAUGCCAUGGCAGAUGCUGAGCAGCGUGGAGAGCUGGCCAUCAAGGAUGCCAACGCCAAGCUGUCCGAGCUGGAGGCCGCCCUGCAGCGGGCCAAGCAAGACAUGGCAUGGCAGCUGCGUGAGUACCAGGAGCUGAUGAAUGUCAAGCUGGCCCUGGACAUCGAGAUCGCCACCUGCAGAAAGCUGCUGGAGGGCGAGAAGAGCCGGCUAUACUCUGGGAUGCAGAACAUGAAUAUUCAUAGGAAGACCACCAGCAGCUUUGCAGGUGUUCUGAGCUCGGCCUAUGGGGGCUUCACAAUCCCCGGCCUCAGCUACGGCCUGGGAUCCAGCUUUGGCCCUGGCGCGGGCUCUAGCUCCUUCAGCCGUGGUUGUGAAGAAGAUCGAGACCCGCGAUGGGAAGCUGGUGUCCGAGUCCUCUGACGUUCUCUCCAAGUGACAGCUGCGGCAGCCCCUCUCAGCCUACCCUUUCUGCGCUGCCCCAGAGCCUGGAAGGGAGGCCACUGUGCAGGGGAGCACAGGGAACAGGGGACCCACCUGAGGCUCAGCCCUAGCCCUCAGCCCACCCGCAGGGGAGUUUACUGCCUGGGGACCCCGCUUGCCCAUGCCUCCAGCUACAGAACAAUUCAAUUGCUUAUUUUUAUUUUCAUUUUUUGGUCCAAAAUAAAACCUCAGCUACUUC